rnacentral:ncRNA from 1 species
CCCACUGAGUUUAAGCAUAUAGAUCAGCGGAGGAGAAGAAACUUACAAGGAUUCCCCUAGUAACGGCGAGCGAACCGGGAGCAGCCCAGCUUGAGAAUCGGGCGGCUGUGCCAUCCGAAUUGUAGUCUAGAGAGGCGUCCUCAGCGACGGACCGGGCCCAAGUCCCCUGGAAAGGGGCGCCUGGGAGGGUGAGAGCCCCGUCCGGCCCGGACCCUGUCGCCCCACGAGGCGCCGUCAACGAGUCGGGUUGUUUGGGAAUGCAGCCCAAAUCGGGCGGUAGACUCCGUCCAAGGCUAAAUACAGGCGAGAGACNNN